GAUGAACGCUGGCGGCGUGCUUAACACAUGCAAGUCGAACGGAAAGGCUCCUGCUUGCAGGGGUACUCGAGUGGCGAACGGGUGAGUAACACGUGGGUGAUCUGCCCUGCACUUCGGGAUAAGCCUGGGAAACUGGGUCUAAUACCGGAUAGGACCACAUUUUGGAUGGUGUGGUGGAAAGUUUUUCGGUGUGGGAUGAGCUCGCGGCCUAUCAGCUUGUUGGUGGGGUAAUGGCCUACCAAGGCGUCGACGGGUAGCCGGCCUGACAGGGUGUACGGCCACAUUGGGACUGAGGUACGGCCCAGACUCCUACGGGAGGCAGCAGUGGGGAAUAUUCCACAAUGGGCGCAAGCCUGAUGCAGCGACGCCGCGUGGGGGAUGACGGCCUUCGGGUUGUAUACUCCUUUCGCUAGGGACGAAGCGCAAGUGACGGUACCUGGAGAAGAAGCACCGGCUAACUACGUG
rnacentral:rRNA from 1 species